GAUGAACGCUGGCGGCGUGCUUAACACAUGCAAGUCGAACGGUGAAGGCGGAGCUUGCUCUGCUGGAUCAGUGGCGAACGGGUGAGUAACACGUGAGCAAUCUGCCCCUGACUCUGGGAUAAGCGCUGGAAACGGCGUCUAAUACUGGAUACGAGCUGCGAAGGCAUCUUCAGCAGCUGGAAAGAAUUUCGGUCAGGGAUGAGCUCGCGGCCUAUCAGCUUGUUGGUGAGGUAAUGGCUCACCAAGGCGUCGACGGGUAGCCGGCCCGAGAGGGUGACCGGCCACACUGGGACUGAGACACGGCCCAGACUCCUACGGGAGGCAGCAGUGGGGAAUAUUGCACAAUGGGCGAAAGCCUGAUGCAGCAACGCCGCGUGAGGGACGACGGCCUUCGGGUUGUAAACCUCUUUUAGCAGGGAAGAAGCGAAAGUGACGGUACCUGCAGAAAAAGCGCCGGCUAACUACGUG
rnacentral:rRNA from 1 species